CCUCUAGCUUAGUUGGUCAGUUUCAGUGUCAGGAUAACCUUGUUAUGCAAUUUUCUUGCUGGGCAGAGUAUAGCUGUUUGCAGCUUAUCUAGGUCAAAAUUUGAAUUCAACUGAUGGACAAGAAGUGCGCCUCUCUUUGCUGUUCAUAUUUAAUGUGUUUUCAAGCUAUAUACACAAGGAUUAAGGAUGGAAUAUCAACUUCUGCUCAUUCGUCGUAAGGUUCAAUCAACCAGUGGUGCAGGGAAUUGAUUGUAUAUAAGUCAGCCUUGAUUGCAUCAGAUUCUUCGCCCGUGAAAAUUAUACAAAGGAAUGCAACAUUUUGCUUUUGCUUUAGAGGGUGGAUUCUCCUGUUCAUUUCUUUCAUUCGUGGGACUUAACUAUAUGCGUGAUUAAAAUCAAUGGAUCCGCCACUUUGUGGAACUUAGUAGUGUAAGGCAGACGCGUACUUUGAAGGACCUGGAUGUGAUUACUGUGACCCACUUUUCACUAGGAAUAUAAAUUUUGUCAA